GGGACCUUCAUACAAGUUUGAGACCCAUGAUGUAGAUACCACUGGUGGACAAACGUUUGUGUUCGUUUGUUGGAGAUUUCAGCCUCCACGGCGACCUGAUAAAGCCCUUUUUCCGACACCCAGCCGGUUCGUCCAGGACUGACAGAGAAAUGUUCGGAUGCCGCUCGGGGAAGAUCACACCAUGUUCACACCAGCUGCUGAAGUGCCAGGAUGCCAUGACUAGAUUUCUCUGCUCAACUCAUCGUGGGUCUCCUGUCCAAACAGCCCUGGCUUCGGGAAAUGGUCCUGGAGGCACUGGCAUCAGGCAGCAGAGGAAUCAUCCAUCAACACAGGAGCUCCCAGAGAGCACCAGGAUCAGACUUCUGUCUUAAAGCUGCCAGACACUCAAAUCUGUAGGACAACAAAGACACCCAUGUCUCUUUGCUUGGAUCUAACGCAAGUCUGGGUUCUGGGGUCUGGUUGCACAGAGGCAUCUGAAGAAUACAACUAUUGUGAGGCCAAAAUGCAGAUCCAAGACCCAAGGUUUUUUAAGUGCCUCUAGAUCAUUCAAAAUCUAGUUCCCAAGCACGUUGAUCCAGUUGUACUGAUAAGACACUCACAGUACUUUGAGUAAUUAAAGUAUUGGGACUAUUUAAUGUCUUUCAGCUCAUUGUUGUUGUUUUUUUCCUGGCCUGUAACUUUCUAGUGAAUAUUUUUUUUUUGUUGAGUGUACAGAACCAUGACUCUCUCUGUUGGGGCACUUUCACAACCCAAACUUUAGUCCGUUUUAAUCGAUUUCACCAUCGAACGCUCCAAUUGUACUCUGUUGGGGACCAGAACAACCGGUUGUUCUGGGUCUUGGCCCUUUUCCAAACGGUCUCUAGUGUGGUUCGAUUGCACUGUGAACGUAAUUCGACCAGAAUCCGACCCAUUUAAAGGAAAUGCUACUUUGUCAUUGCAGAAUUAUCAA